rnacentral:rRNA from 1 species
CCAUCGACGAAAGUUGACUUCCGCAAGGACACUCGUAGAGGUGCUGCAUGGCUGUCGUCAGCUCGUGUCGUGAGAUGUUGGGUUAAGUCCCGCAACGAGCGCAACCCUUGUCUGCUGUUGCCAUCAGGUAAUGCUGGGCACUCUGCAGAGACUGCCGGUGAUAAACCGGAGGAAGGUGGGGAUGACGUCAAGUCAGCAUGGCCUUUAUGUCUGGGGCUACACACGUGCUACAAUGGCCGAUACAAACCGUCGCAAAACCGCAAGGUGGAGCUAAUCGGAGAAAAUCGGUCUCAGUUCGGAUUGUAGGCUGCAACUCGCCUGCAUGAAGUUGGAAUCGCUAGUAAUCGCGGAUCAGCACGCCGCGGUCGAAUACGUUCCCGGGCCUUGUACACACCGCCCGUCACAUCACGAAAGCCGGUUGUACUAGAAGUCGCCACAUCAACCCGCAAGGGAGAGAGGCGCCUAAGGUAUGGUCGGUGAUUGGGGUGAAGUCGUAACAAGGUAGGCGUAGAUGA